AAGGAUCAUUAAUGAAACUUCAGGAGCUGUUGCUGGCCUUUCGAGGUAUUUCGUGCACGCUCCGCUUUUUCAUCCACACACACCUGUGCACAUUCAUUUUCGGGAGGGAGCGAUCUCUCUCGGGAAUUUUUCACACACACUUAUGAAAAUGUAAAGAACGUUUGUUAUUACAAAAUGUAACAACUUUCAACAACGGAUCUCUUGGCUCUC
rnacentral:misc_RNA from 1 species